UAUGGUGAUAAUAUCGGAUAACUGGCAACUCUCCUGAAAGGAUAUAUAAGUGAGUAUUGUAGAUAGUCUCAUCAGUCAGGUCAAGGCACCCAAGGCACAGGAUAUCCGUAAUCUCUUCUUCUGUUCCACAUUACAGUUUAGAUUCAGAUCGCAAAGAUGGUGAGAACGGGAUUAUUAUCAGCUGUGCUUCUCGUCACUCUGUCUGCCAUUAUCGGCACAUCAGAGGCAGUCUAGCAAACCUGAUCCAGAUUGUGGUAGCAUAUUUUGCCCAUUACACAUCGACCCCGUUUGUGGCAGCAAUGGCAAAACGUACUCCAACGACUGCUUCUUAAGUAUCGCCCAGAGAUGCGAAAGUGGAGAUAUAAAGUUUCGAUGCCAAGGAGUUUGCAGGCAGUGUCGUAAUUGAGUGACAAGCAGUCUGUAUUAAAAGUGGAAGAAAUAACUUAAAAGAUGAUCUAUAAAAUUAACUGUAUCCUUGAUGUAAUUCCUCAAGUAUGUCAAUAUAGAUUUGACUUAAAUUUCUUACAUCGAA